rnacentral:rRNA from 1 species
UACGUAUGGUGCAAGCGUUAUUCGGAUUUACUGGGUGUAAAGGGAGCGUAGACGGCCAUGCAAGUCUGAAGUGAAAGCUCGGGGCUCAACCCCGGAACUGCUUUGGAAACUGCAAGGCUGGAGUGCAGGAGAGGUAAGCGGAAUUCCUAGUGUAGCGGUGAAAUGCGUAGGUAUUAGGAGGAACACCAGAGGCGAAGGCGGCUUACUGGACUGUAACUGACGUUGAGGCUCGAAGGCGUGGGGAGCAAAC